rnacentral:rRNA from 1 species
UACGUAGGGGGCAAGCGUUGUCCGGAUUUAUUGGGCGUAAAGAGCGUGUAGGCGGCCGUACAGGUCAGCUGUGAAAACUCGAGGCUCAACCUCGAGACGUCGGUUGAAACCGUACGGCUAGAGUCCGGGAAGAGGAGAGUGGAAUUCCGGUGUAGCGGUGAAAUGCGCAGAUAUCGGGAGGAACACCGGUGCGAAGGCGGUUCAGCUGGGCCU